CUUAGGAGCCAAUGAUGUUUUUAUGUCUGAACCUGUCUGAGGCAUCAUAGUGAUGUUGCUUCUGUGUGGUACUGAGGCUUCUCUGUCA